GCCAAGGAACCCUACCAACAUCAUCUCCUGCAGCACCUGGCUUUCUCUUGAGGCCUCCCAUCCAACGCCUGACCCCACUCAACUUGUGAAUGCUGACAAGUUCACACCCAGAGGUUACAGAGCUGGCUGCAGUUCCAGACUAACCCAGUCUGCUGGGACACUCCACUAUCCACCCAGUUGGUAUCACCACGCCAAACAAGGAAUCUCACUGGAAUAUGGGAGUCUCAUACAGGGGCAGGCUCCUGGAUGCAAAGAAGGCACCUCCUUGGGGGAAGAAUGCAUUGCUGUUCUCAGGUUUGCCUAACUUUCUGAGCUCCAAUUGAGGGCUGAGCCAGCCCCGGGGGCAAACUGCCAUAUCAUUGUCAGACACAAAUAUUCCCAGCCGAAUUCAGCAGGAGGAAGAGGGAGCGGGGAACCAGCCUGCUGUUCCCACAGGCCUUAGGACAAAGGCUGGUAUGUACCUUUUGGCUCCUGUGCUGUGAUCUCUCCUAGGCAUGGAGACAGGGUUGGCCAGAGCUGCCUUGAGUUAAAGUGCUGGUCCAUAGCCAGCCUCAGUGUGGAAGAUCAUCACUGUUGCCAUGGCAACCAACAGGCUCAUUGGCUGCUUAAAACUUCAGGCCCCCUCCAGAAGGAGUCAGUUUUCCCAUAUCCCUUUAUCUGGGUCCUUCCCUUACUGCUGCGUUUAAAACAGAGGAGGCAGGGGACAGAUCCCAUCAUCCCAAACACAGCCCCAAACGCCCUCGUACAAAAACAAUCCUGGCAUUCUGACUGGCCAACCAGUGUGUAACUGGAAGGCAGCCCCUUCUGACCUGGCAAACAUUGUCUGUAUUGGCCUCUGAUUGUACAUGUGUAAAAGGUGAGAAGGCAAGCAAGGAAGAGGGGAGAAAGACUGGGUCAUUCUUUAAAUCCAGGUGAAAGGAAAUUCCCACGCUGAAGCCCUGCUGACCGGCUGUGCAGGUCUGGUGGAGAUCCCCUCGUCUUGUGACUGGACUCUCACCGCUUUCGGGCACUUAAAAAGCCAGACUUUGAGGGGGAAAAGAUGGAUGGACAGAUGGAUGUGAACGUGGCUGAAAGGCAAGAGAAGGGGAAGGAGCAAGCAUCAUUCUCAGGGCUGCUACUCCCACCAUCUCCUGGGACCUUAGACUGUCUUCAUGCUAAUCCUGAGAGAUGUCCUGGCCAGACUGGGACAGCGAGCGGGAACCAGAUGACAUCACCACCGGCUCCAGCUCAAUCCCAGAUACCACGUGGGAUGUGAGAUUAUAGUCUCCCACCCUCUAAUGUGUCCUUUUCCUUCCCUACCUUAUUUCUUACUUUCCUAACUCUCUCAUUUUUCCUUCUGUUUAAAAAGAGUCUGACUUAGCCUGCCAAGACUGUAUUUUGCAACACUGCUGUGAGCCUGUGGCCAGAAAGACAGCUAAAAGCAAUGCCCUACAUAGCCCGAUGCUGGUACAAGUUUGCCAGGUCUUGGAGGGUAUGUCUACACUGCAGUUAGACAUCUGCAUGUUUUUAAUUGCAGUGUAGACAUACCCAGAGUGGCUAAAUAAGACCCUGUGAUGGGCCUGUGUUUUUUCCACCAGAGACAGAAGCUGCAUUUUCUCUCUUUGCUGUUCUUUUCCUUCCCCUUUUGUUUGUCUUGUUUUGCCUUCUAGGAAACUUUAACAAUUGCAACAACUUUAACAAUUGCAACAACGACAACAGCGCCAGCACCUCUCAACUAACUUCUCUUUCCCCCAAAAGGGCAGUUAUGACCAGCUAAGGCUACAUCUACACUACAGGGGGGAGUCGAUUUAAGA